CCCUUAGAUGUUCUGGGCCGCACGCGCGCUACACUGAUGCAUUCAACGAGUCUAAAACCUGCUCUGAUAGGGGUGGGUAAUCUUUUGAAUGUGCAUCGUGAUUGGGAUAGAUGAUUGCAAUUUUUCAUCUUCAACGAGGAAUGCCUAGUAAACGCAAGUCAUCAGCUUGCAUUGAUUACGUCCCUGCCCUUUGUACACACCGCCCGUCGCUCCUACCGAUUGGAUGGUCCGGUGAAGCCUCGGGAUUGUGGUUCUUGCCGCUUUAUUGUGGCGUGACCGCGAGAACUUGUCUAAACCUUAUCAUCUAGAGGAAGGUGAAGUCGUAACA
rnacentral:rRNA from 1 species